rnacentral:rRNA from 1 species
UCUGGUGACAAUGGCAAGGAGGUCACACCUGUUCCCAUGCCGAACACAGAAGUUAAGCUCCUUAGCGCCGAUGGUAGUCGGACUGACGUUCCUGUCUCUUGUACACAUCACCGAGC